UUUGUCUAAGAGGAAUACAUACAUAUUUAAGCAUAUAUAGAAUAUACAUAAAGCUGUUUUGAGAGGGAGAACACCACAGGCAGCUAGGGAUAAGCACUUGCUUCAUACAAAGUGCUAUGCUAGGCAGAUUGGCUAACAUGACAGCAAUGGAAAGUAAUGAAUGCUGGAGGGAAUGUGGCAAAGUCAGGACAUUAAUGCAUUGCUGGUGGAAUUGUGAAUUGAUCCAACCAUUCUGGAGGGCAAUUUGGAACUACACCCAAAGGGCGAUAAAAGACUGCCCUUUGAUCCAGCUAUAGCACUGCUGGGUUUGUACCCCAAAGAGAUAAUAAGGAAAAAGACCUGUACAAGAAUAUUCAUAGCUGCACUCUUUGUGGUGGCCAAAAAUUGGAAAAUGAGGGGAUGCCAUUCAAUUGGGGAAUGGCUGAACAAAUUGUGGUAUAUGUUGGUGAUGGAAUACUAUUGUGCCCAAAGGAAUAAUAAAGUGGAGGAAUUCCAUGGAGACUGGAACAACCUCCAGGAAUUGAUGCAGAGCAAAAGGAGCAGAACCAGGAGAACAUUGUACACAGAGACUGAUACACUGUGGUACAAUAGAAGGAGUCUCCAGGACCAAGGAGAACUUGAGAAUAGCCUGUACUUUCUAGAGUUGGAUUUUCUCUUCCACCAGAGACGUAAGCAUUUACCGAAAGUAGUUCAGUUGCACAGAAGAAUUAUUACGAUUUGCCAAAUGUGCCCAAUAUAUGGCUAGGAUGUAGUGGAGAUGCUGAGACUGAUUUGAUAUGAGUAUCGGACAAAUGUAAGUUAACUCAUUCCUUGGGAUUCCAGAGAUAAAUUUUAAGCAUUGCUAUUUUAAUGGAGAAGUUGAGUUCUGAGGAGGCUGUGCAGGUUAAGAUAAGCAAACUUCACUUUUGCCAUAUUCAGUUUAAUUUAACAAUGAGAUCAGAAGCUAAAGACAUUUUUAAACAUGAGAACCACACAUAACUGAAUUCCCUAGUAAGUAUAUGGGCAAACAAGUAGAUUUGUGUCCUCUACAAUGUAAAAUUCACAGGAAGCUAGUCAGCUAGAGAGCAUAGUGGAGAGAGUGCAGCAUUUAAAAUUAGGAAGACUAAGGCAGCUAUAGGGCUCAGUGAAUUGAGAGUUAGGCUUAUUGAUAGGAGGUCCUGGAUUCAGAUUUGACCUUAGACACUUCCUAGCUGUAUGACCCUGAGCAAAUCACUUAACCCCAAUGCCUUGCCCUUACUGCUCUUCUGCCUUGGAAGCAAUACAUAGUAUUGAUUUCAAGACAGAACAUAAGGGGGUUUAAAAAAAUGAAAUUAAAUUAGGAAGACAAGUUCAAAUCAAGUGAACCUGAGUGAAUUCUUUAACCUCUUUUAAUAUGUUUUUUUUCCUUCUGUAAAACGGGGAUAAUAAUGGCAUUUUCCUCAAAGGGUAAUUGUGACAUUUAAAUAAGAUAAUAUGCAAAAAGUACUUUAUAAACCUUAAAAAUAUAUGUAAAAAUGAAUAUGUAUUACAUUUUUCUCUUCCUCAUCAAGACUUUCCCCAUUGUGGUUUCAAUAUACCACAGGUCGGCAUAAGAAAUAAAAUGGGAAUUUUGAGAGAGUUUUGUGGAAGC
ensembl:lncRNA